GACAGAGGAUGCAAACGUUGCUCGGAAUUACUGGGCGUAAAGCGCGUGUAGGUGGCCUUGCCAGUCCGGUGUGAAAGCCCAGGGCUCAACCCUGGAAGUGCAUCGGAUACUACAAGGCUGGAGUACUGAAGAGGACAGCGGAAUUCCCGGUGUAGAGGUGAAAUUCGUAGAUAUCGGGAGGAACACCAGUGGCGAAGGCGGCUGUCUGGGCAGAUACUGACACUGAGACGCGAAAGCGUGGGGAGCAAACAGGAUUAGAUACCCUGGUAGUCCACGCUGUAAACGAUGAGAACUGGGUGUUGCGGGUAAUGACCCCCGCGGUGCCGAAGCCAACGCGUUAAGUUCUCCGCCUGGGAAGUACGGUCGCAAGACUAAA
rnacentral:rRNA from 1 species